rnacentral:misc_RNA from 1 species
ACUAAUAACCACCACAUUGCUUCCGCAGUGGACAAUGAGGGCUUAACUUUCUUAAGCACAUGAACCAGUUCUAGCAUUGUGUACUCCACCAUGUGUUGCAAAUCCUCAAACAUAAGAUCCUUUGAACUGUCAAUAUCCUUCCCACUUGUCAAUAAGGCCACAGCAUCAGUCACUAUGUUUGCCACUAGGUCUUCAACCCCCUGGUACAAGCCCAGCCUUGAAAUGGCCCUUUGAGCAAUAUCCUCACUAUAACCAAUUUGACAAAGCUGCUUAAUUGCAUUCUG